rnacentral:rRNA from 2 species
UACGAAGGGGGCUAGCGUUGCUCGGAAUCACUGGGCGUAAAGCGCACGUAGGCGGCUUCUUAAGUCAGGGGUGAAAUCCUGGAGCUCAACUCCAGAACUGCCUUUGAUACUGAGAGGCUCGAGUCCGGGAGAGGUGAGUGGAACUCCGAGUGUAGAGGUGAAAUUCGUAGAUAUUCGGAAGAACACCAGUGGCGAAGGCGGCUCACUGGCCCGGUACUGACGCUGAGGUGCGAAAGCGUGGGGAGCAAACAGG